GGAUUCAGGGUUCCUGAUAAUGUCAUUGGGUUAUCUCCCUGCCACCUCCAUCAGUCAAUUCUGUUUGUUUCUGCCUUUCUUUAAGAAUGGGCCAUCUUCUUUCUCUCCCAUGACAGACUGGCCCUCUCCAGUCCCAGAAAAGAUACAUGUUCAGAACAUUGAUCAGCUCACACUUUGGAAGGAGGAAGCCAGUGGUCCCCAUCCGCUGCAUCAGCAGUGCUGGGGAUGGUGGAGGCUUGAUUGACCAGCCCAUCACACGUGCAAGACCCAGCCCAACCAUUGUACCAAGGAGAAUGGGGCCCUGUGACUGGCCUACUUGCCUUUCCCAGUGGGUAGGAACCCGUGAGGACACCCCACUAGCCUGCAGGUUUAAGGGCAGACCUCUGGGGAACACUGACAUUUCCAGGUUGCACGGAACUUGGGAAGGAGACUGAUGAGUCUGAGAGAGGUUCUAGGAGAAGCAAAGUCUUCAAGGGAGGAGAGAAGUUCUACAGGGAGGCAAUGGAAAAAGGCAAAUUCUGGAAGGGAUGACAGGUGCCCCCUGUUCUGGGCUCCAACCACCCACCCUCACUUGGUGUGGAAAAAGGCUGUGAGCUCUGAUGGGCCAGUGCAGGUUCUACCACGGCUCCCGGUAGAGCCCAUUUCCCCACCUGUGAUAUGAGGACACUCACAGAACACCCACCCCAUAGGAUGGGUGAAAGGUGGGAGCAAGAUGGCACAGAGAAAUGCUUACCCCGAUGCCUGGCACACGCUAAAUGCUCAGUAAUUGGGAGCUACUUAUUCUGCUGGUGGAAGAAAUUGUUAGUAGUGGCAGUGGUCAUAGCCCCAGAAUCCUGAGACCCUGAUGGGUAGAAAGUUUAGCUAAUACCUUCAGGCCCACUGAGGCCUCACGCAUUUAUUCAUUCAACAGUCUUUAACAGAGCCCCUGCUGUAUGUACCCCAGUCCCAGUGUCAGACAUGGCAGCACACAGGCGUCUAAGGCAUCGGGAGAUAUGAUAUGAUGAUGAGGAAACGAAGGUUAGAUCCAAGCCUUCCAGGGAUGAAACUCACAUGCCAGGGCCACCACACUGCAGUGCUGCUGGAGCAAAUGCGAUGUGAGAGUUCACUGCAAACCCUCCUCUCUGUGUCAACGGUGGUAGCCACAAAGGGCACCCCAGAGGAGUGGGAGUCCCCACGGGAGCAGCUCUCAGGGGAUCCCAGAAGACAGUCCUGUGCUUCUAUUCAGAAAUUCAGCCUCUUAAGGACCCUGGAGAAAAUUUCAUUCAUGCCCUGGGAGGAAUGCAUGCCACUUGCAAAUGCAGAAACAGCCCAAAAAGAGGGGAGCAUCUUGUUCAAGGUCACACAGUGA
ensembl:lncRNA